AGAGUUUGAUCCUGGCUCAGGAUGAACGCUAGCUACAGGCUUAACACAUGCAAGUCGAGGGGCAGCAUGACCUAGCAAUAGGUUGAUGGCGACCGGCGCACGGGUGAGUAACACGUAUCCAACCUACCGGUUAUUCCGGGAUAGCCUUUCGAAAGAAAGAUUAAUACCGGAUAGUAUAACGAGAAGGCAUCUUUUUGUUAUUAAAGAAUUUCGAUAACCGAUGGGGAUGCGUUCCAUUAGUUUGUUGGCGGGGUAACGGCCCACCAAGACAUCGAUGGAUAGGGGUUCUGAGAGGAAGGUCCCCCACAUUGGAACUGAGACACGGUCCAAACUCCUACGGGAGGCAGCAGUGAGGAAUAUUGGUCAAUGGGCGAGAGCCUGAACCAGCCAAGUAGCGUGAAGGAUGACUGCCCUAUGGGUUGUAAACUUCUUUUAUAAAGGAAUAAAGUCGGGUAUGGAUACCCGUUUGCAUGUACUUUAUGAAUAAGGAUCGGCUAACUCCGUGCCAGCAGCCGCGGUAAUACGGAGGAUCCGAGCGUUAUCCGGAUUUAUUGGGUUUAAAGGGAGCGUAGAUGGAUGUUUAAGUCAGUUGUGAAAGUUUGCGGCUCAACCGUAAAAUUGCAGUUGAUACUGGAUAUCUUGAGUGCAGUUGAGGCAGGCGGAAUUCGUGGUGUAGCGGUGAAAUGCUUAGAUAUCACGAAGAACUCCGAUUGCGAAGGCAGCUUACUGGACUGUAACUGACGCUGAUGCUCGAAAGUGUGGGUAUCAAACAGGAUUAGAUACCCUGGUAGUCCACACAGUAAACGAUGAAUACUCGCUGUUUGCGAUAUACGGCAAGCGGCCAAGCGAAAGCGUUAAGUAUUCCACCUGGGGAGUACGCCGGCAACGGUGAAACUCAAAGGAAUUGACGGGGGCCC
rnacentral:rRNA from 1 species